UUAGCGAACAGGAGACCUCCGUUCAAACGGUGUAAUGCACGUGGAGUUGUGGACCUUGGCUCUUCGGAUCCGAUGCCCAUUGCAAAUGUGGGCUAGAAACCUGCCUAAUACGGCCUCACCGGAAAGAAACUUCACUGUUUGCGAUGCGCUACUGCUCUCGUAUACCGCGGCAGCUGUUGCUUGGCUGUUGUCUCACGAAG
rnacentral:lncRNA from 1 species